GAUGAACGCUGGCGGCGUGCCUAAUGCAUGCAAGUCGAGCGAACAGACGAGGAGCUUGCUCCUCUGACGUUAGCGGCGGACGGGUGAGUAACACGUGGAUAACCUACCUAUAAGACUGGGAUAACUUCGGGAAACCGGAGCUAAUACCGGAUAAUAUAUUGAACCGCAUGGUUCAAUAGUGAAAGACGGUUUUGCUGUCACUUAUAGAUGGAUCCGCGCCGCAUUAGCUAGUUGGUAAGGUAACGGCUUACCAAGGCGACGAUGCGUAGCCGACCUGAGAGGGUGAUCGGCCACACUGGAACUGAGACACGGUCCAGCCUCCUACGGGAGGCAGCAGUAGGGAAUCUUACGCAAUGGGCGAAAGCCUGACGGAGCAACGCCGCGUGAGUGAUGAAGGUCUUCGGAUCGUAAAACUCUGUUAUGAGGGAAGAACAAAUGUGUAAGUAACUAUGCACGUCUUGACGGUACCUAAUCAGAAAGCCACGGCUAACUACGUG
rnacentral:rRNA from 1 species